rnacentral:rRNA from 1 species
CACGUAGGGUGCGAGCGUUGUCCGGAAUUAUUGGGCGUAAAGAGCUCGUAGGCGGUGUGUCGCGUCGGCCGUGAAAACCUGCAGCUUAACUGUGGGCUUGCGGUCGAUACGGGCAUCACUGGAGUUCGGCAGGGGAGACUGGAAUUCCUGGUGUAGCGGUGAAAUGCGCAGAUAUCAGGAGGAACACCGGUGGCGAAGGCGGCUCUCUGGGCCUUACCUGACGCUGAGGAGCGAAAGCGUGGGUAGCGAACAGG